rnacentral:rRNA from 1 species
GAGUUUGAUCUUGGCUCAGAUUGAACGCUGGCGGCAGGCCUAACACAUGCAAGUCGAGCGGAUGAGAGGAGCUUGCUCCUUGAUUCAGCGGCGGACGGGUGAGUAAUGCCUAGGAAUCUGCCUGAUAGUGGGGGACAACGUUUCGAAAGGAACGCUAAUACCGCAUACGUCCUACGGGAGAAAGCAGGGGACCUUCGGGCCUUGCGCUAUCAGAUGAGCCUAGGUCGGAUUAGCUAGUAGGUGGGGUAAUGGCUCACCUAGGCGACGAUCCGUAACUGGUCUGAGAGGAUGAUCAGUCACACUGGAACUGAGACACGGUCCAGACUCCUACGGGAGACAGCAGUGGGGAAUAUUGGACAAUGGGCGAAAGCCUGAUCCAGCCAUGCCGCGUGUGUGAAGAAGGUCUUCGGAUUGUAAAGCACUUUAAGUUGGGAGGAAGGGCGUGCAAGUUAAUACCUUGUAGUUUUGUACGUUACCAACAGAAUAAGCACCGGCUAACUU